AAUGAACGUUGGCGGCGUGGAUUAGGCAUGCAAGUCGAGCGCUCACCCGCAAGGGUGGGAGCGGCGAAAGGGAGAGUAACGCGUGGGUAUCUACCCUCGGGACUGGGAUAGCUGCGGGAAACUGCAGGUAAUACCAGAUGACGUCCCCGGACCAAAGGUGUGAUUCCGCCUGAGGAUGAGCCCGCGUCCUAUUAGCUUGUUGGUGGGGUAAUGGCCUACCAAGGCAAUGAUGGGUACUGGGUGUGAGAGCACGACCCAGCUCACUGGGACUGAGACACUGCCCAGACACCUACGGGUGGCUGCAGUCGAGAAUCUUCGGCAAUGGGCGAAAGCCUGACCGAGCGACGCCGCGUGUGGGAUGAAGGCCUUCGGGUUGUAAACCGCUGUCAGAGGGGAGGAAUGGGCGGAGGGUAAUCUCUUCGUUUUGACCUAUCCUCAGAGGAAGUACGGGCUAAGUUCGUGCCAGCAGCCGCCAGUAAGAC
rnacentral:rRNA from 1 species